AAGGGCGAGGAACACGUGGGCAACCUGUCGUUUGAAGGUGGGGAAAAACCUCGGGAAACUGAGGCUAAUACCGAAUGUCGGCGCGGAAGGGCAUCCUUCCUGCGCUAAAGGGGGCGAAAGCUCCCCCUCUUCGAGGGGGCUCGACGCACCAGUCAGGCUAGUUGGCGGGGUAACGGCCCACCAAGGCUCACGGGUUAGCUGGUCUGAGAGGAUGGCCAGCCGCACUGGGACUGAGAUACUGCCCAGACUCCUACGGGAGGCUGCAGUCGAGGAUCAUUCGCAAUGGGCGAAAGCCUGACGAUGCGACGCUGCGUGGAGGAUGAAAAGGCCUUCGGGUUGUAAACUCCUGUCAUGAGGGAAAAGGAGACCCUGCCCAAUACGCAGGGGAUUUGAUGGUACCUCAAGAGGAAGGGACGGCUAACUCUGUGCCAGCAGCAGC
rnacentral:rRNA from 1 species